AAUACUCCAACCAGCUUUUACACUCAACCUUGUUAACCAAGGCACCAGUUGUCGUAUCACUAGGGUUACUGGUGAUCGAAAAUUCAACCCUAAUGAUAACUCAUAAAGUUGGGAAUUGUUCACACAUGCACUAGAAACAGUGUAGGUAGGUAUCUGGUAAGCAAAGACUACAGUUCCCAUGUACAAUACCUGGUAGGAGUAAAUAAUUAAAUGAGCACAGAAAAGAAAUCAUUCCUUACAAAAGAAAAGCCACCAGGCCUAAGGCUGUGCAGUCAACUUAUGCAGCUCACUUCAACAAAGUUCCUCUUAUUAUUGUGAAAUAUUUGUUGCAUGUGAUCAACACAGCACAGAGAAAGAUGUUGCUACUAUUUCAAUGUUUCUUUUAACUCAUAGACAAAAUAACCCAGGGCCAGAAUGUUAAUAGGACUGACCUAGUUCAAAUAUACCAGCAAGGAUGAGAUUUUCUGAUGUCUUCUGAAAAUCUGAUCCCAACUGGGCACAAUUAUCAUGAAUAUCUCCUUCGGAGUAAUUCUGAAACUGCUUUUGAAAUACCAGCAGAUCUAUCAGCCUAUUGUGAAGACCUACAAAAGUAAGUGGCUUGUUGAGGAGGAAGGAUGCUGUCAAGGCAUUGACACCCUUGUGUACAAAAUUUUGCAGCAGAUUUUGCAGGCAUCUGAAGGUAAGCACAGGAGACUUCUUUUCCUUCCCUUUGCAUCAGUAGUACUCCUAACUGCUGUGUUUACACAAGAGAUGAUGCAGAAGAUUACACAUAGAUUUCAAAAAGAUUGUGAAAACAUUUUCAUGAAACAAAAGUUUAUGAGAAAUCAGAGACCUCAUAACUUCCAUGAUUUUUUUUUUGCUGUUUUCUUUUAAAUUUUAGUUUAUCAAAAAAUCCUAACAAAAUUUUGCAAAAACCUAGAAAAAGGGAAAGCACUGGUUUUUUUGAAUGGUGUUAAACAUUUUCUCCAUAUAUAGUAUUUAUAUAUUAUGUCAUUAUAUACACAUACUAUGCUUAAAUAUUAUACAUAUAUUUGUGUGUUUCUGUGUAUGUGAAAGGAUUCAGACUACAUAUAUUGGGGGGGCAUUUAAGUACAUAUAUAUACACAAUGAUCUAUCUAACAAUUUGAAAACUGAAUGCUGUUUUAAGAAGCACCUACUUUCUAGAUACACAAAUGUUUAAGUGCCUUACUUGGGGGCAAACUAGGUAUGAAAAAAUCUCUGUGCACCCCAGAUAUAACACAAAACAUCUUCCAGUCCACAGACAGCCAGCUUCUCAAAGCAGAAGAUUGCCCAUGUAAAUCCCCAUUUCUGGGCAUGUUCAGAAGCACAUGAACUAUUUCCUACUCCAGACACUUUGGGACUCUGAAGCUGGAUGCUCCCUUUUUCCUAAGUAGAAGAUACCCUAUCCUGUAAGACAUUCAGGGAUUCUUACCAGUUUGGGCAAGACAGAAAGUACUGAUGAAUGAGGAAUUCCUGCUCAUAAAAAUCUGCUUUUUACUCAGUAGCUAAGACUGGAGAUUAAUUUUUUUCCUCUGCACCUUUCUUGAGAGAAUGCCCUAAGCCACCAGGCUGUAGUGUCUGCUAAAGAAGGGUGUCAUCCAUCUCUCCAGCUGGUCCUCUUCACUUUGGACAGACCUAUUCAGAAGCAUUCACUAAAUCAGUGAGAAAGGAGAAGUAUUCCCAAUACCUAGUGCUGAGGGUACUUACAGGGUAGGCUAGAAGGAGCCUGGUGUUCCCAGUUUUUUCCUAAAAAUAGUGAAGUAUCAAUAUUAGCUAAUCGAGGCAGUUAUUCAGGUUCACUUUUGUACUCUCUGAACUACUGAAUAUUAAACUAUUCUGUAUAAAAUGGAAUGGUUUCUAUGGAGAUGGAAAGUGGCCUGCUGAAUUCCAUGUUUUGAUGGCUAAAGCAUUCUUCGAAGGUGGAAAAGUAUAUCCUAUCUGCUAAUCAGACAUUGUCAGUGCAACAAAAAUUCAUAGUCAUCUCACCCUGUGCAUCUUACAAUUCAGUCUGGUCUGCAAAAGCACAUGGGAAGUACAGCAGCUGAAUAUGAUGUACAUAUGCCACCCUCCCCAUAAGGAAACAGAAGUCUUUUUACUGAGAAGAAAACUACCUUCCCUUAUGACUACCACACUGGAGUAAUGAGCUUCCCUCUAAGCAACAGGUGAUGUAAGCCCGAGAAAUGUAUGAUCAUGACAUACUUGCUGUCUUUACAGAAAGGCUCAUUCUCGUGGAUUCUUGGAAUAAGAAACCAUCUAUUGCAUCUGAAGUCAAGAGGGAACUAUGUUCUAACAAGUACCUGAGGUUUAUUUUCCUUGUUAAAUGUAUUACAAACACUGAGAGUCCUUUGCUUUUUUCUUUAAUCCAGAAGUUGUAUUUUAACAUCACCUAGAGCCUCAAGCUCCUUGGCUUCUCAGCAGUUUUUGCUUGCAUAUUUGCUUUCCUUGACUUAAUCUUUUCUUUAUUGAUAACUUAGAUCCAUUCAGAUUCAUUCUGUCAUAUUUGAGAGAGAAAAGAGUGCAACAAAAUUUGAGAACAAAAGGGAUGAGUGCAUUGGAAAUAAAAUCAGCAGUUUUAUUUUAAUGCUUAAGGCCUUUACAAAGGAACAAUUUGUGCGACAUUGCUGAAAGCCAAAGAAAUCUUAAUACAAAAAGAAUCAAUAGUUUGAUAAAACCCAGACCUCCUGUGUUAUGCAAUUAAAGGUUAGAAGGGCGAUAAGAGCUUUAAUUUACUUUUGGGAGAUAUUAAUCAGAUUUCGGAUUAACUUAAAAUAUGCUUCCUGUGCAUUUCUUGCCAGGUGAAGGCCCUUCAAUGUUUCCUCUGGUGCAGAGGAAGAGAAAACACCUUCCCAAAGUGAGGUGAACUCCACAAACCUAGAUAUGCUAUCAGGAGGCUUUCUCCAAACUCUGUAAUUGUGAUUUUUCUUCCAGCGGCCAGGAAAGCCAGUGGUAUGAAUUCCCAUAUGUGCUAGUUUGAUGUGAGCUCUGUUAUUAUUAAUUAUUUAUACAGCACCAUGCGUGUGCAUGAUUCUUUAUAGACAAAAGAUAAUAUCCCCCAAGAGCUUGCAAACCACAUGGCCCAGUGGUACAAACACUUCUUUAGCUUUCCGAGGAUGUUCUACCUGGAAUAAUCCACCGACGUCAGUGGGCUACUUAGGUGCUGGUAAGUGCUUUGCUGGGUGGGAAGUGUUUGCAGGAUUAGGCUGCAGUUAAACCAUGAAGUGAUCAUGGGUGAUGAGGGAAGGGAGGGUGAGCGUUCCAGCAAUAAGAUCACGCUGUUGCUCUGGUUAUAACGAAGGUGUCAAGGGGUUAGGGCAUUUUUAGCGUUUUAUGUUAUUUGUGAUCCUGUUACCAAGAAGGAAAAGCAACCCCUUUACAGGCCACACGGAAGAAGUGAGCUGCUGAGGAGGAAGACUUGCUUCAAUCUGGGGGAGAGGCACAGCCCAUUAUGCGCGGGAGAGGACUCCAGAGCUAAUCCCCACAAAGACACUUUCAUCUGCUGAUUAGUCAUGCUCCAGCAAUCCUUGCUAACCAGAGGCUAAGUUAUUGAUGUGUUAAAGAUGUAAUCGCAGAGAUUCAAGACCACUGAAGAAAAUUCAACAUGUUGUUUGACAGUGUCAGAAUUUAACAGUGUCUUGCCUUAUUGAACCAGCCUGGGUAGCACAUGCUCAGCAGCACGGACAAAUCUCUUCAGUUAGUCUACGGGCAAGAAAGGCUGUGUUGGAAAGGGUUUCAAGUCUACAUGGACAUGCUGCACUAUGAAACAUGAAGAGAGGGGGUGGGGUUUUCCCAAAAACUUCAGGGAAGUGGGGCCCCCACCUCAUUCAGCAGGAACAAACCAAACUGUGGAGUUUCUCUAAAUUGCACCCAAGUUUCUGAGCCAAAAGGAGCAACACAUUUUCCAUUAUAACCCAUACAUGUAAUUCUGAAAAAUUCACUGUCAUGGCUUGUAUUUCCCAGGCCUUGUCUCAGCUGAAUGCUUGUUUAGAAACUAUUUGAGCAAACCCUUCUUGCACCUUUUCAUGCUUAAACAAUUCUGACCACUGUGAAACAAAACUUUCUUCCCGGCCAUUGCUGUCUUUAAGUGCUUUUCCAUUUAGAUGAUGACAAGCUAUGAUGAAGCUCAUAUACUAGCAGCAGUUUCCCAUGAAUUCACAAAGACGAUAAUCCCAAAUGUUUACCUUAAUAAAUGUGAUAAAUGUGCUAAGGAGAAUAAAGAAUUGUGGAGCUCUACACCCUGGCUUAGAGCUAACGGGAGUCUUGAAGACUAAUCCACCACCCAGCGAGGCAGCUUGUAUUACGCUUCAGAAAAGGGAACGUGACAAGCCUGAACCUCCAGCUCCAGCAGUCAGCACCUCUCUGACACAGCUGUGAUUAGCAGCUACAUGACACAUGUUUAAGUUAAUCAGAAUACAUCCUUGUCACAGGUACAUCACAACUCCCUCAGUUGCAUGUGUAUUCAUGGUGAUGCUUCACUAUCUUGACCCUAACAGCUUUGUGCUGUUUAAGAAAUUAAACAUGAGUGAGACCUGCUCUAAUUCCCAACUGACUGUACAACUGGCAUGUAGAGGUCUUCAAGAAAUCAUGCGUAAUCACUUUUUGGGGCAUAAACAUAUAUUCAGUUGCCACUACCCAUAAUUAUCCAGUAAUAAGACCCACUUCACUCAGGUCUUCUCCAUCAUCAGUGGACAAUUGUAGAUUAGUGGUUGCCACAGUCAGCCUGGGCCUGAAGAUGGGUUAGCUGUUCUUGCAUAGUAUGAAGCCUGAACAGAUGUGCCCUGCUGAGCCUGAGCUGGCCGCCUUCAGGGCUAGGCCAGGUGUCACUGCAUCAUGUCUCCAGACUGAAGGAGAUGACAGCAUAGAGAUCCCUACACAGAGGCUCAAGAGGGUCCGAAAGCAGCUGAUGGUGUUGUACUGGGACAGGAGCUGGGCUGGCUCUGUGCACCCACCGAAGCAUCUCUGCAGAAGUUCUGAACCCUCUGUGUGCUGCUCCUCCUCCCACAACUGUGUUAAACAAAUAGCCAGGCACUGACUGCACAAACUCAGGUGCCUGCUUUGUCCCAUUUUCAAAACUGCUGCGUUAUCACUCUCUCUGUUCAAUGAGCUAAAAGAUGCUCCAGGUUUGGACCCUCUGUUCCACAAUCUUAACAUUAUUUAUGUUUGACCUGGAUCAGUACAGCCAUAUGCCUUUCCUGUCUUCUGUCAUUCAAUCUCAAGUGCUGUUCACUAAUAGACUUGAUCCUCAUUUCCGGGCUUUACCCGUUCCUUUCAUGUCUUGUGCUAAAAGACACUGAUGAUGCUUCUUCUGCCCCAUCCAGCCUUGUACUCCUCUGUAUCACUGAUUUUUUUCCACAUGGCUUGACGUUUCACCCAUAUUAUGUCAGUGUCCCUUAUUUUGCAGCACAAAUGCAUCAUCUGUCCCUUCUGUUUAGUAAAUCCAUGAGCCAGAUCAGAAUCCCCCUUUCCUCAUGGAUAUUAGACACAGAGCAAUAUGUACAGGGUUCAUGGCAGCCAGCUUUCUGCCUUCUUACUAGCAGCUGCUUCUUCAUCUGGUGUAUUUCUGGACGGACAGUGUCCAGUUCCAGGGCAAAUACUGGAACUCUUUAGGAAUGUUCUUGGAAUCCUCUGGCUGUGCUCCGUCUGAGAGCCCAAAUCUACUGAGCACAUAUAAAUUGGUCCAUUGGUAAUUUGUGCUGGAAAGCCCUGCUGAAUAUAGGAAUAUGCCAGGAACACAGAAUUCUCAGAUCCUCUUUUCAGAUGAAAUGGCUGCUUCUCACCCUGUUUACCUUUCAGCUUUGUCCUGGCCAGCUAAGACUGGUGACUGUUCCACACACCAUACCAAAGAUUUGGUCCAUCUAGGCACAAAUCAUGCUUGCAAGGGCAGGGGAGCUGAACUCUGCACCACAAUUGGAGCUGGUCCUGAAGAUUGCCUGCGGGGUGAUGCCCUCUGAGUCCUGUGCCAGCCAUUUGUUUGGUGGUGUUAUUACAGCAAAAUAAGCCAAAUGAACCUAUUAGAAUUUUAUCCCUCAUAUACAGUAGGAUUUUGUAUUAUCUGCAGCUGGGACAGUCUGACCUUAGGCUGUAUGGCAAAUGAAAAAAACAAAUUUCUUUCAAUGCCUGAACUGUAUCAAGUCUGCUCUGAUUUGUGUCAGGUCCAGCACUCAUAACUCCUCUGUAAUUGUACAUUUAAGGCAAUGGUUUAGUUCCUAUAUUUUGUGCAGCCUAAACGGAAGACUUAAGAAUUGGACUUCCAUUUUGAAAUACCUUUAUUUCUUCACUUUUGGAAAAUGAUUAAUUACUGUGAGCAAUUGAUGAGAUUAAAAUGUACAAAAUCACUCAUAACCUGUAUAUGUCAAAUUCCAGGGCAAUUAGGCUAUUACUAGUGAAGAAAGGCAGCACAGAGGAAAAACAUGUUUUCACUGUGACCUGGCAGUUCACUGACUCAGAGAUAGCCUAUCUGUACCAGAUCUGUGAAGCAAUCCAGAAUAUUUCAGCCAGCUGGGAUGGAUAAUGCUGACACACGCGAGACAGAGCCUGUAGUUUUAUCUCACAGAGGCAGUAACAGCACUCCACGUAAUUAACAGGUGUCACGUUGUUCCAGGGGUUUUGAAUGAUCCCACCCUGGUUUUAUUCUAAUGAACAGUUUAGUUUGCACCCACAUUGACUGUCCCUAGGCCUCUGUGAGUAGGCAGGUACUGAUUACACAGGUAAUCAGUUUGUACAGCUCUUCGAGGGACUCCAUCCCCAUUGCUGCACCUGGACAAUCACAUGCAUGAAUGCGGUAAGGAGUGCACCUUGUUCCUUUACCCCAGGCAGUGUUGUUCACUCUCAUUCGGAGGCGGCAAGCACCCAGCUCCUUCACUGUUAUUUUGCAGAUCUGGAGAACAAACCAUUGCUUCUUUUUUAAAGGACAUCCCAUUAAUCAGUUUGUGAAUGCUGAUGUAUAUCCCUUUGCCAAUGGCUUAGCAAUCCUUUCUCUUCUCGUUACCCAAGGUGAUUUUACACACUUCCUGGUAAGAUCCCGUUUCUUGAUGACAGUAUAACCAGAAAGGUACCCAUUAAUUGGCCUUCUCAGUCCUCCUCUUUUCUUCUUUCAGCUAGCUUCUCUUUAUGGAGAGUUACCUUGGAGCAAGAGAGCUCUAUCCUGUGGCACCUGAGAAAGCAUGCCUGGGGACCCUCAGGCUCAGAGUAACCUUUGCCCGUCCCAGGGCACAUCCAGCACUUGGUGAUAUGACUGGAAACCAUGACAUUCUGCUCAUGUUUGGAAGCCUAUGGGACAGGAAUUGCUGGUCUUACCUCUUGUUUGUAAUCUUUGGCUAUUCACGGCAUUUAAAUAGUGUCUAGCUGCUGUGCAGACUUAUGGAGAAGGUAGAAUGAAUCAUACUUGUAGCGUGAAUGUGUCUUUUAUGCUAGGAUGUUCUUUCACUGGAGAAGUUCAUAGCAGCUAGUUGGGUCUAAUGGACCUGAAUCUGAUGCCAUGCCGCCUGUAUGAUUUCUUCUGUAACCUAUGAAUUUACCUCCUUCACAGGCCUUGAAAAAGAACGGCUUAAAUGAUUUCAAGUGGGCAUGUUGAAGCCUUGCUGGUGUAAGCUCUACAGGGUAAUAUAAGCCAUCUCAUACUUUGGCAAUGGCAGAAGAUCCUUAAUGCUAAUACAAAUCCAUGAAUGGUAGCAGAGGUUUUGCCUGGUGCCACUUUAUUAAAGUUAGUAGGAUAGCUACAAGCUAUGGUGUUUCUACCUCCUCUACUCUGAUUAUUGCUUAGAAUCAAGUGCCAGACUAAUUAGUUCACUGCUGAAGAACUCUGCAUGGCUUUUGUAGCAGAUUUCAUAUCCCAUACAAGGCAACAAUUCACAGCUCUGAGUCCAAGCACAAGAGGGCAUUCCAGAUGGGACUGGAAAAGAAAAAAGCAUUAGUAUCAGAUAACUUUAAACCAGCUCAUGUAGUGCAUUUCCCUCACUAGUGCUCCACCACCCACCACCCCAGCUGGCUUCAGAUUCAUCUGUUGAAUACCCAACUGAACGCACAGGACAUGCAACACUCACAGUGUACAUAGAUGUGAUAAAAUUCAGUUCUUACCUCCUUGUCAAAGGGCCCUAGGCUGUGGAUCACAAAUGUAAAUGAGUAUAGCUGAAUGCUUUUCCAUUUUCGCUUUUGUUUUUACCAUGGGGGUUUGAAGUGUCACAUUCUGCAAUAUAACUUCCCUUUUCUAGUCACAAACAAAUGACAUCUGGCCACUUUCAAUAAUAAACUUGAGGAGAAGGGACAUUUCCUUUCAGCUUGUUGGGCCCCUACUUAACCUUCAAAUUCCUAUGAGAGCUGGGGAGAAAAAAACCCUUUUUAAAAAAAAAUCCCCUAAUGAUUAAACUCACUGAUGAAAAAAACUUUCCUUUGAGCCUCUGAGUACCAUUUGCUUCACACAAUCUCAAACAUCCCAACGCAGUUAAUGUUUGAGGAGCUGUUUGAUGCCCCCACUCUCGUUUUUACAUUAUACAGGAAACUCUUGCAGGAAAUGAACGUUCCGUCAGCCGCCUUCUCCCUCAACACCUUGGGCUUACAAGUCUAAUACAGAAAGCAUACAAGGAAGAAUUAAGGUUGGGGUAAGAGCACCAGAGAGGCAGGCCAGACAUCAAUAAAUCACGCACCUUGAUUUUCCUGCCUGGCAUAACAUUCAAUUUUCUUUCCGGAGAUGCUUCUGGGUUUCACUGAGCAAGAAGGUUUCAGUACCUGUCCCACAGUGGGGCUCAUCAUUCAGGUUUUUGUGGGCUGAGUCUGCUUUGUGUCUGUGUCAUUUCAGUGGGCAUUUUCAAAGGAACACAAAGAAAUUCAAUACCUCUCUUCCAUUUCACAUGAAAGAACGGGCUCCUGGCCCUUUAUGUAUCCCCAGCCUGAAUAUUCUUGUCACUGUAACAAUGUGGUGCACCUCUUUGUUCGGAUGGAAAGAGCCCAGUUUCAACCAGACUCACCCAACAGGGAGCAAAAAAUGGCUGAGGUUAUCAAGAUGAAUAAAAAUUGGGGAAGGCAUUGUGAGCAGGGGUAAUGAAAAGCUCUUUUCUUCAGUUCUUAGUCAACAGAAAUAGCAGACACAUUAUUUUAAAGAUUAGAUUGUUCAGGCCAAACCACUGCCAAUGAUGCAAUGUGUAGUAAGUCCAGAAAAGGCAAUUCAGUGACUGUAUAAGGAAGUGCAUGACCUCCUCCUCAUGACCUACAAGAGCUUCUUUUAGAACUGAUCCAGGACAAGGGA